GUGGGGGAAAAGGGAAGCUAUCACAAGAAUGGGCUGCAGCUGUGGGAUGAGGUGGGCAGCCCAGUGAUGGUGUCAUUGUCAAGGGGCCGUUGAAAUGUCCUUAAGCAGUCAUUGGCCAAAUCCUGUCCUCUAUGGAUCCAGAGCCACAGAAUGUUCCAGCAGAAAUAUGUCUUAGCCAGCAGCUCUUUAUUGAGGACUGAUUGUGGGCUAGGCUCUGUGCUAGGGUCUUUACAGAUGUUACUAAAUCUUCUCAAUAACCCUAUGAGACAGGCAUUAUUAUCCCCAUCUUACCGAUGAGAAAACUGAGGCUUAGAGAGGUUAAGCAGCUUAUCCAAGAUCACAGUUAAUAAGUGACAAAGCCAGCAUCGGAACCCAUGCUAGUGCUCUCUAAAGCGUUCUUAGAAAUCAUGUGAUAGAUGAGAAGAUCAAGGUCUGGAGAAGAAAAGCAAGUUGUCUGAGAUGACACAACCAGCUCUAAUUGGUGGCAAAGCUGCGCCUAUAACUCACCUGCGCUUUUCACAACCUGCAGUACGUGACCACUGCCGAAAUGAAGAGGCAGGGGUGUGCCCCCUCCCACCUUCUGAGUGGCUCAGGCACAAUCAAUGUUGAGUUGGCACGAAAUGAGAAAUUAAACUCACCAUGCCACUUUAAGAAGAACAUGGAGAAGGCAGGCAGAAGUGACCUUGGAGAACAGUAUCUGAGCCAGAAGGCAGGAGGUGUGGUGUCAGCACAGCGGCAGGUCACCGUUCAGGAAGGACCCUU
rnacentral:lncRNA from 10 species